rnacentral:tRNA from 1 species
GGCAAGAUGGCCGAGCGGUCUAAGGCGCUGUGUGUUAGUCGCAGUCCGAAAGGGCGUGGGUUCGAAUCCCACUCUUGUCA